GCCUCGGUGGCGGAGGGUCCGCAUCUGAAAACAGUUAUUAUCUGCUGACAUGUUAUGCAGACGCAGCUCGUUCGAUUCGGGCCCGAGGCA